AGUCAGUAGGAGUAGACCCGAAACCGGGUGAUCUAUCCAUGUCCAGGUUGAAGCUGCCGUAAGAGGUAGUGGAGGACCGAACCCACAUCCGUUGAAAAGGGUGGGGAUGAGGUGUGGAUAGGGGAGAAAUUCCAAUCGAACCCGGAGAUAGCUGGUUCUCCUCGAAAUAGCUUUAGGGCUAGCCUCGAUACAGAUUUGCGGAGGUAGAGCACUGAAUUUCCUAGGGGGCGUCAAAGCCUACCGAAGAAUAUCAAACUCCGAAUGCCGCGUAAUCGAUUAUCGGGAGUCAGACUGCACGAGAUAAGUUGGGCGGUCAAAAGGGAAAGAGCCCAGACCUUCAGUUAAGGUCCCCAAGUGCGCGUUAAGUGGAAAAGGAUGUGGGAUUUCGAAGACAACCAGGAUGUUGGCUCAGAAGCAGCCAUCCAUUCAAAGAGUGCGUAAUAGCUCACUGGUCGAGAGGUCCUGCGCCGAAAAUGUCCGGGGCUGAAACGCGCCACCGAAACUAAGGAACCGAAAGGUUGGUAGAGGAGCAUUGCAUGCGGGAAGAAGCAGUACCGAAAGGAGCUGUGGACUGCAUGGAAGAGAGAAUGCCGGAAUGAGUAGCGAGAAUAAGGUGGGAAUCCUUAUGGCCGAAUAUCCAAGGUUUCCAGAGUAAAGCUGAUCUGCUCUGGGUAAGUCGGGGCCUAAGGCGAGGACGAGAGUCGUAGCCGAUGGACAACAGGUGGAGAUUCCUGUACUGCGGUAUGACAGAACUGUGGGGACACGUAAGGAAAGCGGAAGCCGGGAAUGGAAAGCCCGGUGCAAGCGGGGUACCAGCCACUUUGGCAAAUCCGGGUGGCAAUGGGAAGCCGUGAUGCGGAGCGAAAUAAAGUAGCGAAGUCCGUGAGCCAUGCGUCAAGAAAAGCCGCUAUCGUUUAUACCGUACCCGUACCGUAAACCGACACAGGUGGAUGAGGAGAGAAUCCUAAGGCCGGCGGAAGAAGCAUUGUCAAGGAACUCGGCAAAAUGGCCCCGUAACUUAGGGAUAAGGGGUGCCUGGGAAACCAGGCCGCAGAGAAUAGGCUCAAGCAACUGUUUAGCAAAAACACAGGUCUAUGCGAAACCGAAAGGUGAGGUAUAUGGGCUGACGCCUGCCCGGUGCUGGAAGGUUAAGAGGAGAGGUUAGCGGUAACGCGAAGCUUUGAAUUUAAGCCCCAGUAAACGGCGGCCGUAACUAUAACGGUCCUAAGGUAGCGAAAUUCCUUGUCGGGUAAGUUCCGACCCGCACGAAAGGCGUAAUGAUUUGAGCGCUGUCUCGACAAUGCAUCCGGUGAAAUUGAAGUACCAGUGAAGAUGCUGGUUACCUGCGCCAGGACGGAAAGACCCCAUGGAGCUUUACUCCAGUCUGGUACUGGGACUCGGUAUUGCAUGUACAGGAUAGGUGGGAGGCU
rnacentral:rRNA from 1 species